rnacentral:rRNA from 1 species
AUAGCCACUAGNNNAAAUGGUGGGUAAUACUGUAUAAUCCCUGCGGGGGAAAGAUUNUAUCGCUAUUAGAUGAGCCUAUGUUAGAUUAGCUAGUUGGUAGGGUAAAGGCCUACCAAGGCGAUGAUCUAUAGCUGGUCUGAGAGGAUGAUCAGCCACACNNUGGAACUGAGAUACGGUCCAGACUCCUACGGGAGGCAGCAGUGGGGAAUAUUGGACAAUGGGCGCAAGCCUGAUCCAGCUAUGCCGCGUGAGUGAGGAAGGCCUUAGGGUUGUAAAACUCUUUCAGUAGGGAA